UCAACAGCGACAUAGCGCGGGAGCGGGCAGUCUGAGCACCAAGAAACAUUCGUACAACAUGCGGAAGUCGUCGUCGUCGUCAUCACCAUCGCCGGUCAG
rnacentral:ribozyme from 1 species